rnacentral:sRNA from 1 species
AAAAAGGAGAGGGUAUUUUCCAAAUGAAAACUCAAAAAUAGGACAUUUUUCCAAAUUUACUCAAAUAUAAAUGCAAAACAAUUCGUUCAAACAUAACACAUGUGAAACAAGAUUAAUUAUCGUAAAGAAAAAGGUAAAACAAGAGUGAUAAAGAUAUUUAAUUUAAUUUUUAACAUGUUGGACUAAAAGUUUAAAUGUUGCGGCGGAGGUUGCGGUGGCAGAGAUAAAUGAAUUAUUGUAGAUAUUACGGUGGCCGCAGAGCAAUAUUGCCACGAAGAUGGAAGCGACGACCAGAACAAAAAAAAAUAUUCAAUUAAGGUAACUUAACAGUAGACCAAUCGAGACCAAACCACAUAUUAGCGAGGUUACGUCAAGUUUCCUUACUACAUUUGUAUGGCCUCGAUACCUGUAGAAAGGAUAAAGAAGCUUGCCCAAAGUACCAGAGAGAGCAUAAUCGCCAUGUUGAAACCAUUUUCGCUCAUAGUUUUAUUGGGAUGUGCGAAACGGCGGGAAAAUCAUUUUACUUUUAGAGAACGGCAGGAGAAAAUGCAUAACACGAAAACGCCAAAGAUUGCUCUUCAUUUAUUUUUAUUCUAACAAAUCUAGUUUUUAUUUU